UCAUCUGGAAAUGAAAAAUGGUCAAGAAGUCAAAAUGGUGAUGUCAUGAGAAAGGCAGAGAAUCGAAAUUCUAUUAGGCACUGUUCGUCGUUUCAUCAAGUGGCAGUCACGAACUCAUUAUAGCUUUUCAUGAAGAAAGAACUCGAGCAAAAAUAUAUAAAAGUAAGUUCCUCAAAAUUUUCAGAUGUUCAACUUUGGUCAAUUUUGAAGGCAAAUUCUUACAUAACUUCUCAACAAAAUGUCAUUUCAAGACAAAUAUCCAUUUUUUAAAUAUCAGAAGUAAUUGAAGAAGACGUUAUGAGGAAUAAUAUAGAAUUUUUGGGGGACUCUUGAAAAGUAAUUUGUCUCAGUUGUAUCUUAAUUUCAAAGAUAGGUUAUUAUAUUAGAGAAUAAACCUUUUGUUUGCCUUGAAAAUUAGUGGCUAAAUUUUUUACUUGGUCGUUCAACGGUCUGGGCUUAUUUUUUUUGGGCCCCUUCCUCAUAAGUAUUUACCGUACAAAAAAAGGAUACACAACAAUACUUUUAUUGUAAACUUCGCUGCCUUCCAAAUACAAAUUCAAUUCAUGCAUGUUAAACUGGUAGGUCCAACCCAAUGCAUGACAUCUACCCAGAUGGUAUAUUUCUUCAUCACAAUUCAAAUUGUUGAUUUCACACUAGGUACAUAUUUCCAAAUCUUUGAGAAUUGUGCUAUUCUUCACAUACCACAGCGUGUUUGUAAGUUUUCUUAGAAUUUUGUUCUGGAAUCUUUCGAUGAUCAGGAUAUUGGAUUCACUAGCUGAACCCCAUAGUUUAAUACCAUACGACC